CCAUGGUACAAGUGCAGUGGGCCUGGAAAAUACAAAUCCAAAGCAGACUUGAGUCUGCUUUUGAUGAUCCAACAUUUGGGUGGGAUGCAAACAUUCCAGUUCAAGGUAUAAACAGCUCUAUCAUGUUGCAUUGUGCUUGAUGACUUGGGGAAUGAUCAUUAUGAAGGUCAGAAUCUGCUGGAGCAAAGAAAGGAGCGGUAUUUAUACCCCAGCAGGACUUGCUUAAAUACAAGGAACGCCAUCUAAUGAAAAUCCCGUGCUGCAGGCUGAGCUGGAGGGAGCAUCGUGAGUGGCUCAGACCCAGGCCUUCAAGGCAAGGGACAGACACCAUCUUACUUGGUUUGCGGUGGAAUAUCUGGAAAAAGCAUUGGUUACAUUUUUUGUAACCCUUGGCUAAUGAGUCCCAGUCGGUGGAGGCUGAGCUAAACACCACACAGGCAGCAGACCAUCAGUUCGCUUCUCAUGAAUGCAAAGAAGAUGUCAUGGAAUCAGGUCUUGUCUUUUCAUGUAACCUGGCAGCUAAUUUCUCCCUUAAUUAGUUACAACACCA